AGCGGACUUAUCCUUCGGGAUAGGUUAGCGGCGGACGGGUGAGUAACACGUAGGCAACCUGCCUGUAAGAUCGGGAUAACUACCGGAAACGGUAGCUAAGACCGGAUAGCUGGUUUCUCCGCAUGGGGGAAUCAUGAAACAUGGGGCAACCUGUGGCUUACGGAUGGGCCUGCGGCGCAUUAGCUAGUUGGUGGGGUAAUGGCCCACCAAGGCGACGAUGCGUAGCCGACCUGAGAGGGUGAUCGGCCACACUGGGACUGAGACACGGCCCAGACUCCUACGGGAGGCAGCAGUAGGGAAUCUUCCGCAAUGGGCGCAAGCCUGACGGAGCAACGCCGCGUGAGUGAUGAAGGUUUUCGGAUCGUAAAGCUCUGUUGCCAAGGAAGAACGCCUCGGAGAGUAACUGCUCUGAGGGUGACGGUACUUGAGAAGAAAGCCCCGGCUAACUACGUGCCAGCAGCCGCGGUAAUACGUAGGGGGCAAGCGUUGUCCGGAAUUAUUGGGCGUAAAGCGCGCGCAGGCGGUCUUUUAAGUUUGGUGUUUAAGCCCGGGGCUCAACCCCGGUUCGCACUGAAAACUGGGAGACUUGAGUGCAGGAGAGGAAAGCGGAAUUCCACGUG
rnacentral:rRNA from 1 species